rnacentral:lncRNA from 1 species
UGUGAGUUAAGAUACACUGGAGAAACAGUACCUUCUCCCUGUGCCCUGAGGAGAGAUGUUGGAAAAUGCCAAGGCACUGAGGCAAGCGUGUCCUCACUUGCAUGCAACACCCCUUUGGCCUUCCUAGGACAGCAGUCUCCUGCGCUUUUCCAAAAUCCUGUUGGAAAUGGCUAGAAGAACGUGUGGUGCAUGCUAGCAAUCCCUGAUUCUGGCCCAGGGCAUGUUGUCAGUCCUCUCUGUCUUCUCUUCAUGUUUUCCUACAAACCGAUGAAAUGCUUGUAAAAAUACUGUCCCAGCGCUUUUUUUUUUUUUUAAUGCCAGUUCACAUCUCCCCUCUUCCAGAGGUUUGGCUCCAGCUGAGCUCAGCUCCAAACUUGGGCCGCAGCAAACAGUCACCGCUGAAACACUGCAGAAAUCUCCCCAGUUUUGCUGAAAGAAGAGGCAAAAGUGGCUUGCGAGGGGCCAAGCUUCUCCACCUUGCAUCUUGGUCUGAGAUUUCCCCCUUGGCAGAAGACAGUCAGGCUCUGUAAGGAGCUUUUUAUCGUUGCUGCCUUGUGAUGAUAGCGUAAGUGAAGAUGAAGGAGCUGCUGCUGGAUGUAUAGGAAACUGGGAUGAUAAAAAGGGGACCAGACCGAGUUGUCAGGAGAAAGACUUCUACUUUCGUUUGGGUCUUUGGGUCAAAAAGCGUUUCAAUGAUGCUUGCCGGCUCAGUGUUGCUCGGUAUGUGCACAGCGAGCGUCCACCUGAACAGCAUCUGUGGGGCUCCCCAGAGGUGCAAAACUGAGGGGCUGAAGAGGCAGGUCCAGGUGAGGUUUUAGUGGCUGAACUAAUCCAGGAGAGCAAAACCUUUCUGUUGGGACUUGCUGCUUAUAAAUAAUGAAUUUUAAGGAACUUUGUCAUGUAUGGUUAUGAUAAUGAAGCUGAUGGUGCUUGGCUAUUAAAAGGCUGUGCUGUGGGGGAGAUAAAGGUACCAGUGUUGGCUGUGGUCACUGCUCUGUGGUCCUACCCUCGUGCUCCUUCCUCGCUGACCUUGGUGGGCCAUCGCACACAGCCAGCGUAGCCUGAACAGCCGGGGGGGUUAUCCAAAGUGACAGUGCUCCUCUGAAGGGCCACGGACAUUUAUCGCCUCCUGAGAACCCACUGCUGAUAUCUUACAUGGGACCCCAGAAAUGGAGGCACCAAACCCAACAGAAUUGCCAAAAAUGGGGGGUCACCUAAUCUGUCCCCUCUCCCCACAACGGACCCCGUCCCUGUGGGAAACCUUGGCCACAU